GAUGAACGCUGGCGGCGUGCCUAAUACAUGCAAGUCGAGCGAACAGAUGAGGAGCUUGCUCCUCUGACGUUAGCGGCGGACGGGUGAGUAACACGUGGAUAACCUACCUAUAAGACUGGGAUAACUUCGGGAAACCGGAGCUAAUACCGGAUAAUAUAUUGAACCGCAUGGUUCAAUAGUGAAAGACGGUUUUGCUGUCACUUAUAGAUGGAUCCGCGCCGCAUUAGCUAGUUGGUAAGGUAACGGCUUACCAAGGCGACGAUGCGUAGCCGACCUGAGAGGGUGAUCGGCCACACUGGAACUGAGACACGGUCCGGACUCCUACGGGAGGCAGCAGUAGGGAAUCUUCCGCAAUGGGCGAAAGCCUGACGGAGCAACGCCGCGUGAGUGAUGAAGGUCUUCGGAUCGUAAAACUCUGUUAUUAGGGAAGAACAAAUGUGUAAGUAACUAUGCACGUCUUGACGGUACCUAAUCAGAAAGCCACGGCUAACUACGUG
rnacentral:rRNA from 1 species